rnacentral:rRNA from 1 species
AGUGAACGCUGGCGGUAGGCCUAACACAUGCAAGUCGAACGGCAGCACAGUAAGAGCUUGCUCUUACGGGUGGCGAGUGGCGGACGGGUGAGGAAUAUAUCGGAAUCUACUUUUUCGUGGGGGCUAACGCAGGGAAACUUACGCUAAUACCGCAUACGACCUACGGGUGAAAGCAGCGGAUCUUCGGACCUUGCGUGAUUGAAUGAGCCGAUGUCGGAUUAGCUAGUUGGCGGGGUAAAGGCCCACCAAGGCGACGAUCCGUAGCUGGUCUGAGAGGAUGAUCAGCCACACUGGAACUGAGACACGGUCCAGACUCCUACGGGAGGCAGCAGUGGGGAAUAUUGGACACUGGGCGCAAGCCUGAUCCAGCCAUACCGCGUGGGUGAAGAAGGCCUUCGGGUUGUAAAGCCCUUUUGUUGGGAAAGAAAAGCAGCAGGUUAAUACCCCGCUGUUCUGACGGUACCCAAAGAAUAAGCACCGGCUAACUUCGUG